UACGUAGGGAGCAAGCGUUGUCCGGAAUCAUUGGGCGUAAAGCGCGCGUAGGUGGCUUCGUAAGUCCGUUGUGAAAGUCAAAGGCUCAACCUUUGAAAGCCGAUGGAUACUGCGGAGCUAGAGUACGGAAGAGGCGAGUGGAAUUCCGGGUGUAGCGGUGGAAUGCGUAGAGAUCCGGAAGAACACCAGUGGCGAAGGCGGCCCGCUGGGCAGUGGCUGACGCUGAAGCGCGACAGCGUGGGGAGCAAACAGG
rnacentral:rRNA from 1 species